rnacentral:rRNA from 1 species
GUGAGGAAUUUUCCGCAAUGGGCGAAAGCCUGACGGAGCAAUGCCGCGUGAAGGAUGAAGGCCUAUGGGUUGUAAACUUCUUUUCUCAGAAAAGAAUUAUGACGGUAUCUGAGGAAUAAGCAUCGGCUAACUCUGUGCCAGCAGCCGCGGUAAGACAGAGGAUGCAAGCGUUAUCCGGAAUGAUUGGGCGUAAAGCGUCUGUAGGUUGUUUAAAAAGUAUUCUGUCAAAGAUUAGGGCUUAACCCUAGAUAGGCAGAAUAAACUUUUAAGCUAGAGUUUGGUAGAGGCAGAGGGAAUUCCCGGUGGAGCGGUGAAAUGCGUAGAUAUCGGGAGGAACACCAAAGGCGAAGGCACUCUGCUGGGCCAAUACUAACACUGAGAGACGAAAGCGAGGGAGCAAAUGGGAUUAGAUACCCCAGUAGUCC